GUUACUUUUGGAUUUCACUUGAGAAUAUUCUGAUGUAUUUUGUAUGUUGAACAGUGACGGUUACUUUUGGAUUUCACUUGAGAAUAUUCUGAUGUAUUUUGUAUGUUGAACAGUGGGUAUCCACAACUUCACUCCUCUUGGAGCAAGAAGAUUGACUGCCUAGAAAUGCAAGAUGCGUAUAUUUGAAAUGAAUGAAAUGUAUCCUGACUAAACAGUUGCACCAAACUAUUUGCUUGCUGUGCAGCAGAAGUCUUAAUACUAUUUGCUUGCUAUGCAGCAGAAGUCUUAAUUACUUAUACAGAGUAAUUUUGAAUGUUGUAGGAUUGCUUUCAUUUUGUAUUUUCUUUUAAUUAUUGCAUUUUCACACUAAUUAUGUGGCUCAUUACUAAUUAGUAUAAUGUAUAUUAUAUUGUUGGAAUUCUUAAAUUUGAAUAGCAAUAUGCACAUCAUGUGCAUGAAAAUAUUGCAAUAGCUAGAGGU